GAUAUGGAAGGAAACAAUUGAUUGAAAAACCACAAGGUUGCUGGCGGGUAAUUAUUAAUUUUCAUACAACACCACCGCAUGGUUGCUGGUGGGUACAAAAACAAAAAGAAAGGGCAUGAUGUCAAGAAAAUGGGUGCGGGCGGGAUUUAGAAUGGCGGAUUACGACGAAAUGAAUCCCCCUCGUCGUAAUCUUCUGUAGGGGAACACCUGAGGGUCCUCUAUGAGGGGUAUGUGGGUAUAACUUUGGGUGGGAAUUGGCAUCAAUUCUCUCAAUUCUUUAUAGUAGAUUUGCAUGGCCCCUUUGGAUGUGAUGAAUAGUACAAUCUCCAAG
rnacentral:lncRNA from 1 species